rnacentral:lncRNA from 13 species
GUCACUACAUUGAUUGUUGUUUCCCACCAAUUGUAUUUCCUAUAUUUUCUUGUCUAUUCCCAUUUUGUUUUCAUUCUGAUGAAGGCCAUUGACGGCCAAAACGUCAUGGCUUUAACUUUAAAAGGAUCACGAUUUUAAUUGAGAGGGAAAGUCGUUCCUAUAUACUGUAUGUUGUGAGUGUGACUCUGCCUUUACAUUGAAGAAGGAAGAACAGGAUGCCAAUGGGAGGGUCACACCCAUCUCCACCCAAGGCCCUGCUAGAGAACACAACCCUCAAUAGGAUGAUUGUUAGGAGGAAAGGGGUUUUAAUGCAGCAUGGAGAAAGAACUGGGGACACAGGGACUCCUGGGGGCCCUAACAGACAGAACACAGAGCCGGGGGGCAGGGGCUUCCAGGGGCCAGGGGCUCCAACAGACAGACAGACACACUCAGAACACAGAUGACAGUUCCACAGUUUAAUUCCAGGAAAUGAAUGAAUGGCUUUGUGUCGGCUGCUUGUCUUCUGAGUCACACCGUUGCGCAACAAGGGUCUUAAAGAGAGAGAGAGAGAUCGUAACCUCCAGAUCCUCUAACACAGCUCAUGUUUGUCUCUGGAUGCAUCCCAAAUGACACCCUAUUGCAUAUGGUCACUGGUCAAAAGUAGUGCACUAUAAAUGGACCAGGGUGCCCUUUUCCACACAUCCAGAGACAAACAUGAGCUGUGUUAGAGGAUCUGGACUGGAGGUUAAGGUCUGUGUUAUGACGUGAUGGCUGCUGAGAACUAGGUGGUGAAGCAAUCACAUUUCCCUCUAUGGUGGAGUCUCCCCUGGUCCAGCCUCAGACCCCAUGGUGUGAGUCUAUGAGCCAGCUGAUGAGGAAACUGGACCAGCUCAACCUGGACAUAGAGGAGGCUCUGAGUGCAUCAUCCUCCCCCUCGGACACACCCUGCACCGCACGCAGACAACAGUAUGGAGCUGUGUCUGGGACGGCAGUAAACCAAUCUCUUAACGAGGAGGACAGUACACUGCUGCAGCGAGGGGAACCAGAUACAGAAGAAUGUCUCAGACAGAAUCAACACAAGACCUUGGCCUCUAGUAGCUCAGCCGAAGGAACCAGAGCCAGGACCAAGAAGACAGUCGUAAGUUCCUAUCAGAGUCUCCCUCCUCCUCUCGACUCCUGUAUGCUCUGUGCCUGUCUGUCUAGGUCUGGGUGA